CUUACACAUGCAAGUCGAACGGUAAGGCCCCUUCGGGGGUACACGAGUGGCGAACGGGUGAGUAACACGUGAGUAACCUGCCCUUGACAUCGGGAUAACACCUGGAAACAGGUGCUAAUACCGGAUAUUCAACCUCCUCGGCAUCGAGGAAGUUGGAAAGCUCCGGCGGUCAAGGAUGGACUCGCGGCCUAUCAGCUUGUUGGUGAGGUAAUGGCUCACCAAGGCUCCGACGGGUAGCCGGCCUGAGAGGGCGACCGGCCACAUUGGGACUGAGAUACGGCCCAAACUCCUACGGGAGGCAGCAGUGGGGAAUAUUGCACAAUGGGCGAAAGCCUGAUGCAGCAACGCCGCGUGCGGGAUGACGGCCUUCGGGUUGUAAACCGCUUUCAGCAGGGACGAAGCGCAAGUGACGGUACCUGCAGAAGAAGCACCGGCUAACUACGUGCCAGCAGCCGCGGUGAUACGUAGGGUGCGAGCGUUGUCCGGAUUUAUUGGGCGUAAAGAGCUUGUAGGCGGUUUGUCACGUCGGGAGUGAAAACUCAGGGCUCAACCCUGAGCCUGCUUCCGAUACGGGCAGACUUGAGGAAGGUAGGGGAGAAUGGAAUUCCUGGUGAAGCGGUGGAAUGCGUAGAUAUCAGGAGGAACACCAGUGGCGAAGGCGGUUCUCUGGACCUUUCCUGACGCUGAGAAGCGAAAGCGUGGGGAGCAAACAGGCUUAGAUACCCUGGUAGUCCACGCCGUAAACGGUGGGUACUAGGUGUGGGGGACAUUCCACGUUCUCCGUGCCGCAGCUAACGCAUAAGUCACUCCGCCUGGGGAGUA
rnacentral:rRNA from 1 species